GGAGUUUGGACCGUGUCUCAGUUCCAAUGUGGGGGACCUUCCUCUCAGAACCCCUACGCAUCGUCGCCUUGGUGGGCCGUUGCCCCGCCAACUAGCUAAUGCGCCGCAUGCCCAUCCCUGGACGAAAUUCUAUCACACGGCCGUCAUGCGGCAGCCGUGCAUACGGGGUAUUAGGCCGCGUUUCCGCGGGUUAUCCCCCAACCAGGGGCAGGUUGCAUACGUGUUACUCACCAGUGCGCCGGUCGCCAUCAGAAGUAUUGCUACCUCCAUGCUGCCCCUCGACUUGCAUGUGUUAAGCCUGUCGCUAGCGUUCAUC
rnacentral:rRNA from 1 species